rnacentral:lncRNA from 1 species
UUACUGGAGUAUAACAGCUAUCAUAAACGUUAGGAUGAAGAUGCCAGUGGAAAACCACUACUGCUCUCCUGUGUGGUCUGCACCUCACUACCUCAUUAAAUAGAGCUGCAUUUCGAAGAGAUUUAUAAAUCGAAGGAAAAAGGUAUUUCCUCACAGUGGGUGUUAUUGAACCUCUUUUGCCAACUCUAAGAUAAUUAAGAGAAAAGUACCCAACAGCUGCAUUUUUUUCUUUCGCUCUUGUCAACUGAUUUCUUCAGAAGCAAUUCAUUUUCUUUGACAGUUACUUCGCUUUCUUUGGUGGGGCGGUCACCUUUCCUAGUCCUUUGUCUUUUAUUUGUUCAUUCGAUUAAUGUCCCCAUAGAGGUUCCCUUACUUUUUGCUCCACCUUUAGUGCCCUCUGAUCACUGAAAUUAUCUUGGCAAACUCUGCUUCCUGUCUUUGGAAAAUUGCCCAACCUGCAGCAGCAGAGGGUCCAAAGGCAGGAUUCCGGCCACCAACAGUGUUCUUUUGAAAUGUAAUUAUUUUUUUCUAAUUGAAAUUUAGGUCAGUUAAUAUACUUGUAAAAUUACCAUUGCCAUCUUUGCCUUUUAAUUAGAGUAUUUAGAUAAUUUAUAUUGUAUAAUUUUGACAUCUUUGGGUUUAAUAAACCCAAUCGCAAUUUUCUAUUUAUCUAACCUUUUUUAUUCAUUUUUCCUUUUUUUCUACCUUCUUUUAAAUAAACUAAUUUUUGUGAUUUUACUUUAUCUCUUUUGUUUACCUCUUGUCUAUUAUCUUUGUGUUCUUUUAGUGGUUGUGUAAGGGUUACUCAUGGCACUUCACUGUAUUAUAGUCUCUUCAAGUGCUAUGCUAUAUCACAGAAAUCGUAAGGAUCUCCCAGCAGUAUACCAUUUGUACUUUCCUUGGCCUUGGUGCUUAUGUUGCAAGCUUUUUUAAAAAUCGGUAUAUUGUAAAUCUCCAAGUGUAUUGUUUUGUAUUUGUUUUAUUCAGUCCAUUAUAUUGUAUAGAGAUUUGUAAUUUAGAAGUAGUUUAUGUUUCCCAGAGUUACUCUGUGUUUUCCCUUCCACUUGGUAUCUUUUUCCCUUCUUCUUGAGAGUUUUCAUUUAAUAUUUUUCCUGGUACAGGUCAAUUGAUUAUUAUUUCUUUCAGCGUUUGUAUGUCUGAAAAAAGUAAUUAUUUUUCCCUCAUUUUUGAAAGGCAGUUAUUACUGGAGAGAGAACCCUUAAAUUGGCAGGGUCUUCUGUUGCUUUGCCUUUCAGUACUUUAAGAUGUUGCUUCUCGGCCUCCUGAAUUAGAUUGUAUUCAGUAAGAAAUUUCAAUGAGAAUGAGAAAGUUUUUUGUCUUUGUAACUCUGUAUGUGGUGUGUUUGUGAGCUCUUGGUCCUCUGCAGCCACCCCGUCCCUCAGUGCAUUCAGCCCAUCUUCUCCCUGACCCUUCAUCUGGACCCACGCUCACUACCCCCACGCAUCCCAAGCCACAGAGCAUAACCUGUGGGCUCCCACUGCAUCGUAUCUGCCUUGCAGGCAAACCCCACACUCCACACACCUGGGCCAGGCCCAGCUCUGGCCUCCAGAGUCUACCACAGUAUUCUGAACAGAACAUUUCUUGCUGGAAGGGCCCAGGGGAGGGGCCCGCACCCCUGAGCCAGGUGUUGACAGUUGGACUGGGCAGAUCUGGGCUGGCAGAUCUUAGGGCAGCGCUCUGAGUCUACUCUUCAGGGAAAAGGCUCGAGGUGGAGCGGAGAACAAUGGACUCCUGGGAUAAGGAGCAGACACCUUCUGCUGCCAAGAGGCACAAAUGGCCGCUGGGAUGUGCACGAGAGCCUGCGUUUUUUCACAUGCAUGUGACUGUGCGUGUGUGUUUGCAUGUGUGGAUUACCUUUUUUCCCUCUGCCUUCUGUGUGAAGUGCACUUAUUUGACUUUUUCAAGAGCAGUGUUUGGAUAGGGAGCCCAAGGUGACCUAGGACCAGCUGUGCACUGUGUACUCGUUACCGUAUCUUGGGUUCUAGAUAUAGGGGCUCUCUUUUUUUUUUUGGACCCAACUUAGCUGAGAAGGCCAUUUCAUUUACUGGGAUAGUCACCCAGCUCUGGUUGCAAGAAUAGCUGCUCUGCUGCAGUUCCAGGCAUUGAACUGUUUUCAUUUUGUUGUUGUUUCACAGUAAGGGUCUGCGAGGCUCAUUAGACAGCCCGUGACAAGAUAAAAAAAUGAUUAAUGAUGCGAACAGCUAUAGUCUAUCAGCCACACGCCACUUGUCGCUAUGACACUCUCCUGAAAGACAUCCCUGGACUCACGUUUCCUCUGGGGGUGCCCAGAGGAUGGAUUUCCUCGAUCCAAGACCCUGACACAGAGCACAGCUUUGGGAUCAUGGUUUUUCCGUAUAGUUAGUGACUCAGGCUCGAGUCAGGGGAGAGGCGGAAGCAGGGCUCUCUCUGUGGGUGGGGGCACUUUCUGCCUUUCUUCUUCAUCUGCUGAAUCCUCAUCUGUGUCUUACACUUGGGAAUCCUGUCCAGCUGGGAAGGAGUCUCCUCUUCCUUCUGCCGUUUCUCAUCCUUCUCAUCAGACUGGUCUACCUCGUCAGUAGCGCUUGUGAACAUAGAUUCUGGCCCCAGGCACUGGUGUGUGGGACGGGCAGUCUGCGUGCUUCUCUUGAGGCAGGAAGCCCACCAUUCCCACCACCACAAAAUCAUGCCAGUUGAUCUCACGUUAGCCACCACUCCGUCUUUUCUUCCUUCUUUCUUGGAAGUUGGCCCACUUGGUAACUUACCUGGUCCAAAACUUCUUAGGGCUUCUCAGCCUCUUUUUUGAGCUUUCUAAAUAAGCCUUUGGGUGGGAUAAAGAUCAAGGUACAGUCAUCUCUUGGUAGCUAAAGGGGAUUCGUUUCAGAACCUGCACAGGUCGGAGUGCUCUAGUCUCUCGUAUAAAACAGCAUAUUAAUAGCUAUAACCUAUGCACAUCCUCCUGUAUACUUUAAAUUGCCUCUACGUUAUUUAUAAUACUUAGUACAAUGCGAGUGCUAUUGAAAUGGUUGUAAAUACACCAGAAAUGCUACAUAGAGAGGUUAUGCUGUGAGAGUAGGAAGUCAAACUCGUAGCUUCUCUGCUCUUUGUGCAUCAGAUACCUUAGAAAUUGGCACCCAUUCCUGGCCACAGACUGAGCCAUCAGCUUCACCAUGUAUGAGCUUAAUUAGUUUCUCUCCUCAUUAUGGGCCAAUUUUAUAGUUCUCUUAUAUAGACAAUAAUUACCCACCAAACUCUUAUUCCCGAAAAAGAUCACAACACUGUGCAACACAAUUUCAAAGACCAGAGAUAUAAUGAUAAUUAAAAUGUUCCAAAUUCUUUUUAUGUAACAAGUAUAAUAUUGACAUUUAAUGAGUAUACUCUUUGAACAGAAAAACUAAAACCUAACACACACAUGCAUAAUCAUAUGAGUGCUGGCUUUGUAUUAGCAAACAGACUGCAGAACAUAUACAAAAGUAUGCAUAUUAUCCAAGUGUGAAUUACUCCAGAAAUGCCAAAUGGCUCAAUAUUAGACCAUCAGUUAAUAUAACCACUAUAUUAAUAUGGUUGGGGAGAAAAAGAAUCACAUGAGUAACACCAUUAAUGUUAAAAUGAGGUCAAAAUUAAGCACAUACUUUGUUUAAAACCAUCCAUGAUUAAAUUAGAAAUUGAAAUUUAAUUUAGGAAUAUGAAAAUGUGGAUACAUAUGUCCAAAACACAUUGUCCUAUUUAAAAGGAAAGAAAUUAGAGGUAGUAUUACUAAGUCAAAAGUGUCCAUUGCAUCCUGUUAUUGAUUUAGAGGUAUUGGUGAAUAUAAUUAGAGAAGAGAAAAAAAAUCAGAUAAUACAUUAAAAAAGGAGUAAGAUGUAUCUCUGUUUUUAUAGGCUAUGUACAUUAUGUACUGGAAUCUAUGACACUAUCCAGCUUGGCUUUAUGAGAUCAGGAAAGGGGAACAGGAAAUUCUGUUUGAAAGGAAGAGUUGGACACUGAGAAAAGGCUGCAGAGAGCAGUGGGUGGAGAGCAGUGUUAGGCAGACCAUCUGCAAAUCAAAGCUUUGGGAUUGUAACUCAGCAAUCCUACUCUUGGAUUAUUUGACCCUAAUUAGUAGUAGUUUUUCCCAUUUGGUUUAAGUAGAUUUUCUUAUUGAUGUAUAUAAGACCAGUCAGUCAGUAGUACUACCUUAAAUCAGUCUUUGAUAAAAUUCAUUGAGAAAGGAAGGAAUUGAUUUUAUCAUAAACAUUCACUUUCCAAGAAGAGGGUUCACAUUUGGGAGCAAAUGAAUGUGUGUCUGGAAUC